rnacentral:rRNA from 1 species
UACGGAGGGUGCGAGCGUUGUCCGGAAUCACUGGGCGUAAAGGGCGCGUAGGCGGCGCGGGCAGUCAACGGUGAAAGCUCGGGGCUCAACCCCGAGUCGGCCGUCGAUACUCCCGUGCUUGAGCACUGUAGAGGCAGGUGGAAUUCCGGGUGUAGCGGUGGAAUGCGUAGAGAUCCGGAAGAACACCGGUGGCGAAGGCGGCCUGCUGGGCAGUAGCUGACGCUGAGGCGCGACAGCGUGGGGAGCAACAGG